GACGAACGCUGGCGGCGUGCCUAACACAUGCAAGUCGAACGCAGUGGGGACGGGUGAGUAACACGUGGGUAACCUCCCAUCAGAGGGGAUAACAUUUGGAAACAGGUGCUAAACCGACACUGAUGGAUGGACCCGCGGUGCAUUAGCUAGUUGGUGGGGUAACGGCUCACCAAGGCCACGAUGCAUAGCCGGCCUGAGAGGGUGAUCGGCCACACUGGGAAUUAUACACGGCCCAGACUCCUACGGGAGGCAGCAGUAGGGAAUCUUCGACAAUGGACGAAAGUCUGACGGAGCAACGCCGCGUGAGUGAAGAAGGUUUUCGGGUCGUAAAGCUCUGUUGUUAGAGAGGCGGUAUCUAACCAGAAAGCCACGGCUAACUACGUGCCAGCAGCCGCGGUAAUAC
rnacentral:rRNA from 1 species